rnacentral:tRNA from 1 species
GCCUCUGUGGCCUAAUGGAUAAGGCAUCGGUCUCCUAAACCGGGGAUUGUGGGUUCGAGUCCCACCACAGGUA